rnacentral:tRNA from 1 species
GAGCACGUGGUCGAGGAGGCGGCCGCGCUGGCGGCGCGGCUGCUGGCGGCCUGCCCCCGGCUGCGGGUCCUGGCCACCAGCCGUGAGCC